GAUGAACGCUGGCGGCGUGCCUAAUACAUGCAAGUCGAGCGAACGGACGAGAAGCUUGCUUCUCUGAUGUUAGCGGCGGACGGGUGAGUAACACGUGGAUAACCUACCUAUAAGACUGGGAUAACUUCGGGAAACCGGAGCUAAUACCGGAUAAUAUUUUGAACCGCAUGGUUCAAAAGUGAAAGACGGUUUUGCUGUCACUUAUAGAUGGAUCCGCGCUGCAUUAGCUAGUUGGUAAGGUAACGGCUUACCAAGGCAACGAUGCAUAGCCGACCUGAGAGGGUGAUCGGCCACACUGGAACUGAGACACGGUCCAGACUCCUACGGGAGGCAGCAGUAGGGAAUCUUCCGCAAUGGGCGAAAGCCUGACGGGGCAACGCCGCGUGAGUGAUGAAGGUCUUCGGAUCGUAAAACUCUGUUAUUAGGGAAGAACAUAUGUGUAAGUAACUGUGCACAUCUUGACGGUACCUAAUCAGAAAGCCACGGCUAACUACGUG
rnacentral:rRNA from 1 species